rnacentral:rRNA from 1 species
AGUGAACGCUGGCGGUAGGCCUAACACAUGCAAGUCGAACGGCAGCACAGUAAGAGCUUGCUCUUACGGGUGGCGAGUGGCGGACGGGUGAGGAAUACAUCGGAAUCUACUUUUUCGUGGGUGAUAACGUAGGGAAACUUACGCUAAUACCGCAUACGACCUACGGGUGAAAGCAGGGGAUCUUCGGACCUUGCGCGAUUGAAUGAGCCGAUGUCGAAUUAGCUAGUUGGCGGGGUAAAGGCCCACCAAGGCGACGAUCCGUAGCUGGUCUGAGAGGAUGAUCAGCCACACUGGAACUGAGACACGGUCCAGACUCCUACGGGAGGCAGCAGUGGGGAAUAUUGGACAAUGGGCGCAAGCCUGAUCCAGCCAUACCGCGUGGGUGAAGAAGGCCUUCGGGUUGUAAAGCCCUUUUGUUGGGAAAGAAAAGCAGCAGGUUAAUACCCCGCUGUUCUGACGGUACCCAAAGAAUAAGCACCGGCUAACUUCGUG